rnacentral:misc_RNA from 1 species
AACAAGGCGUACCUGCGGACCUGCGGAGGGAUCAUUACCGAGUUUACAACUCCCAAACCCCUGUGAACAUACCUAUACGUUGCCUCGGCGGAUCAGCCCGCGCCCUGUAAAACGGGACGGCCCGCCCGAGGACCCUAAACUCUGUUUUUAGUGGAACUUCUGAGUAAAACAAACAAAUAAAUCAAAACUUUCAACAACGGAUCU